CCUACGGGUGGCAGCAGUGAGGAAUAUUGGUCAAUGGUCGUAAGGCUGAACCAGCCAAGCCGCGUGAAGGACGAAGGUGCCAAGCAUUGUAAACUUCUUUUGUCAAGGGACAAAAUCAGUCUCGAGAGCCUGUCCGAGGGUACCUGAAGAAAAAGCAUCGGCUAACUCCGUGCCAGCAGCCGCGGUAAUACGGAGGAUGCGAGCGUUAUCCGGAUUUAUUGGGUUUAAAGGGUGCGUAGGCGGAAUGUUAAGUCAGCGGUAAAAGCCCGGGGCUCAACCCCGGCGAGCCGUGGAAACUGGCUGGCUUGAGAUGGCGAGAGGUAUGCGGAAUGCGCAGUGUAGCGGUGAAAUGCUUAGAUAUUGCGCAGAACUCCGAUUGCGAAGGCAGCAUACGGGAGG
rnacentral:rRNA from 1 species